rnacentral:lncRNA from 1 species
GAGCUCGAGAGUUAAUGCGCGGCCUGUUUAGAAACAUCAUAUUCCUCCACGAGUGCUGGGGUAUUUCAGUACAGAUCCAGCUGUGUCUCCUAGAAGAGGAAAGCAGCUUUCUGGUGUCACGGUAAAGGUCCUCCUCCUGGCAGUGGACAGCAGCGAGUGUGGAAGUGUUCCCCAUCCUCUCCCUGAGAGAGUCUAUGUCUGCUUCAUCAAACCCGACUGCCUACAGUAUGCACCAGACUCCAUCACCUUUCUUCACAAAGAAGAUUGCUUGCCCAGAGGAAGGCUCCUCAGACUGCUUGGGACACCUUGCACAGAUGCAUGCCACUGCCUUGAAUUCAGAACGGACACUAAAAGAGAUCCUGAACAUAUUGGUGGAAAUGUGAUCAGUCACCUGCAACUCAGACCCUACCUGUUUGGUAAAGGACCUAUAAGGACAACUAGAACUUCUUGUGAUAUUGCCAAAGUCUUAUCUGAAGGAAAUACAGUAUUUUCCAUACCAUAGUCCACCCAACCCUAAACCAAACUAUUUUGUGUGGAAUGGAGGUUGACAACAGGUAUCAAGUGUUUCUUUUCUGAACGAGCCUGUUAAAAUACUAGUAACCUCUCUACAACUAGUACAGAAGCCUAAUAAGAUUUGAGGGCAGAAUAUGGAAUAUAAUCUAUGGCUAUCUGUGGACCAUUUAUACAUAUAUAUAUAUGCACACAUAUAUAUCUGUGUGUAUAUAUGACUAUAUACACUAUAUAUUUUUUUUCCUUGAACAAGCUAUUUUGAUAUAGGCGAAUAUAGGAUGCUGAAUUAUGAGAGAGUAACAGCAAAAUUUGCCACCAAGCCCUUUUUUUUUUUCAUGCAUAGCAACACAAAAAUUAUCAAUAUAAUAUAGCACAAUCAAAAAUAUAAAUAGAGUUUCUUAUUUGAGGGAAGUAUAUGAAGAAAACUUGGUGCUCUUCACUAAAUUUUGGAAAGCUCCAAAAUACCACAGAGCUUGUGCAGCAUAAAAAAGUGACAGGGACAGAACAUAAAUUGUACAGUCACACCUAAUGUUAUAUUAAUGAUACUUUUGCACCAAACAUAAGAACAGAAACUGUACUAUGUGCCAUUUAGUUAAUUUAGAGGAAAAAAUAUGUAUACCAAAAAUAUGAGCUCACUGCAGUGAACAAUUCAAAGCUGAAUGCUUUUCACAAUAUAUUUGCAAAAUAAGCAGCAACCUAUUAAAAAGUUAUCUAAGUCUUUACAGUGUGCCAGCCAAACCUCAGAAAAUGACUUAACGUUAAGUGAUUGAAGGCUGAGUUUUGCAGAAACAAUGCAGGUGGAAACCAGUAAGAAUACUGUGUCUGCUGCUGGCUUCAUACUGAAAAUAUCCAUGCUUUGCGUUUGCUGUGGGUUAAUAUAUCUCUUGAAAUGUGUGUAUAUUCAGCUGGUAUUAAGAGAUAGAUGUAUGCCUUAUUAAUGGUGCAUUGUCAUUUGGGAGAAUAUCAGAGAAUACUUUUCAACAUCUCUAGGAAGCUGUCACUCGUUACAAAGCCUGUAGCCCACUAUUUUGAUGUAAACCCACCAUGAUAAAAUGUAUCAAUAAAUGAGCAUUAAAAUACUGUGUGAAGUAAAUC